GCUAGCUUCAAAUGGCUGGGCCUUUGUGCCGUGAUAUCGACGCUGUGAAUAUCAAAAGAAGCAACCAUGCCAGCUGCCAUAAGAGCUGUUGAAUCAGUGAAUCCUCCAUCUGAUCAGUGGGUUGAGUGUGUGCACCUGCAGUUGAUUCACAUCAGCCCGAUUAUCUCGAGGAGAAGCAGAAUGACAUCAUUCACAGUAUUGAACAGCUGAAUGUCAAAGUUGAUGCACUACAUCCUUGGACCAUCCCUGAAAGUGUCAGUUCCCAGACAUACCAGGAGAGAGAACAGUGUGGACGCUGCUGACACGAUUAUCUGAAGGUUGGCCAACUAAACCAGAAGUGUGUGCUUGAACCAAUUACAAGCAGUGCCUGGAAGUAAUGGGGGCUUCCAGUAAAGUCACUCAAAGAACUCAAGAGUGCUAAUGACAGACUUGAUGGCGAGGACAAGUGAACCAGGCAC